GCACUCCGUCGAGCCCCCGGGUCUCGGCGCCGGAGCCUGCUAGCCUCCUUCCUUGAACACGAUCGUCACACCUGGUGCACCCCUUUCGUCUGCCUCUGGGGCUCGGUGACCAUUCAGCCCUACCCCGCCUGCUGCGUGGAAGAGGCUCCUCCUCAGGUGGCUCGGCCGGGGCCUUCCCCUGCAGACCUGUCACCCGACACCCAGGAAGCGCGCGGCCCCAUCCCGGCUCCUCUUUGUUCCCCCGCUGGGCUCCGCGCUCCGGCGCCACCUCCUCCCGCCAAGGUCCUGGUGAUUUGGGGCGCCGCUCUCGGCUCAACCUGGGCACGCCUCAAGUUCUGUCCAUUGGGCCCGCUCCAAACGAGGGCCCUUUUUUUGCCUAGUUCCUCGGGUGUGGACUCGGAGCAGAGCUGGGAGGCGGCGGUGAGCCCAGCCCGGAGCCGGCGCAGGACUUCCGGAGUGAAUUCCACAACUGUAAAUAAUGUUCCACCAUCCAGUCUGUCCACCUGAGAGCUUCAGACUCAAACUAGAGUUCAUCACACUGAGUGUCCUCCGAGGACGGCAGGUCCUGGAGUGUUGGGUGCAAGGAGCGUCAACCUCAUGCACGGCUCUCGUCUUGGUCCAGAACCUCCGGCAUUGGCAAGGGAGGGAAAGGGAUGGGAAAAAUCUUUAAGCGCUUCACUAAGACCAAAGGAAAGAGCAGCACUGACUUUCUUUUUUUUUUUUAUUUUUUUAUUUUUUUUUUUGUUUUUUCGAGACAGGGUUUCUCUGUAUAGUCUUGGCUGUCCUGGAACUCACUUUGUAGACCAGGCUGGCCUCGAACUCAGAAAUCCGUCUGUUUCUGCCUCCCAAGUGCUGGGAUUAAAGGCGUGCGCCACCACCGCCCGGCAGCACUGACUUUCUUGAGGGUCUUAGAUGUAUCCAAGGCUUCCUGGAACAGGUUUUGCAGUGCCUGCUUCUAGGUUGGUGUGUCUCCUGAGAAUCUGGGCUCUGAUGCAGGAAGAAAUUUUUGUCCUCACCGCAUCUCCCGGCAAAGGAGGAAACCCCUGCAUCAUUUCUUGUGGCAACCAUUUCAGAAGGACCGCUGCCUGGCUCACCAUCUUUGUCCCCUUCAGCCUUCCCCCCUAGAGUUACAACCUGGGAACAGGCACUUGGGAGUUUAGCCCUUCUCAGAGUAUCUUUGCAAAGGAGUUUUUGUUUGGUUGGUUUUUGUUACAAUGUUUCCUGUCUUGUGUGAACCAGUGACACCAUUUAUUUGCCCAGACCAUAAUUCCACCCAGGUUGACCCAAGCUGGCAAAUGUGUGGCCUCCUCUGGACCCUGGCUUCUCACUCAUGUAUUACCCUUUUAAAUGUCAUUGUAUACAUCUUUUAUGGAACCUGCUUCAAGUCAUUCUUCUUAAGUAUUUAAAAGUAGCCUCUUCCUGGAAAAAUAAA